AUUGAACCCAGGUCUCACACGUUGUAGGCAGACGCUUUAUUGUCUGAGGCACCAGGGAAGUCCAAUGGCAGUAUGUCUAAUGUGGCUGUCCCGAAAUGGAGUGGUUUACGGAAGGGGUUGGUAGCACACAGGAGUGUUGUUGAGCGGCCACUGGAUGUCAAGGCACCUCAAGUUAGGGAGAGGGGUUCUUCAAACUAACAAAACUCUUUUAAAAACUCUAUGUGUUAGCCAAGGAAAGCCUCACCCAGAUCACUAACCCUAAUUUGCAGGCAAGGAAAUCGGAGCACAUACAGGUCAGGGGAACAGCGCACAGUUGUAGAGUGAGUCACUGGCCAGGACUGGACACACACUUCCUGACCUCUCGACCAGGACGCCGGCCAUAGCCCUGCCUCUGGCCCCGGCAGCUCCGAGCUGACCUAGCGCGCCAAUGUGCUGAUGUCACCACGAGGGGGAGCCAGAUGCCCGUUCAUGCAGUAGCCGGGCCCAGGCUGCGGGGUGGAGGGACUGCUCCUCUGAGAGCCUCAUCCGCACAGCUGUGCGUGGAGCUGGUGAAGAAAGCGGACGAAGAGUUGGGCGCUUAUAAGAGGGCCGAAGCUCUGGAGCAGUGGCUGGGAGGGAGGGAGGACGAGGGAAGGGCAUUUGUUGCCUCCUCUGGUCCUGCUUGGUCUGGCCCUGUUGGGAAAGGAGCAGAGCUGGAGAAAGGAAGGGCUUUCCUGAGCACAGGCUUUCUGCCCCCGCCUCCGCUCGGCUCGGUCUUGCUUAAGAGCAGACCGGACAUUCCUAAAGCUCCGGCAGGAAACCGGGAAAUAGACGGGGAGGCCGGCGGCUCUGCAGCCCGCCAGUUCUUGCAAAGCAACGCUCUCCCCCGCGCCCCACCCCCAAGCCCUAGGCGCCUGGACCCUGCACCCUCCUAGAACUGCCCUCCUGACCUGCUGGCCCCUUCCUCCCAGCCUAUGGGAUCAGACCCAUUCCCUGAGCUCCAGUCCCUGAAAGAAAGUGUUAUCCACCACCGACCCCCAGGUGGAACUCAUAAUCUGUCCGCCUAAACCUGGCUGUCUUCCAGAGUUCCUUCCCUCAGUGAAUGACUGUAAGCUCCAUGAGCAUAAGGACCAUGUCAGUUUCUGGGUGCUUGAAAAUCUCCAGGACCUCUGUGCCUGGCACAUACCCUUCCUUAAAUAAAUAUUGAGUGCCUAUGGUACCAGACCGCCCCACUCCAGUACUCUUGACUGGAAAAUCUCAUGGACGGAGGAUCCUGGAA
ensembl:lncRNA